CAGAAAUUCAAGUAUGCGAUUCUGCUAGCCAAUUUAUCGAUUUGCUUCUUCCAUUAAACAUUUGACCAGCAAAUGAAUCACUCAAAUCAGCAUCCUAAUUCACUGUUGGCUGAUCAAAACAAAUUCCUUCACUUGUAUUUGGCAGUCCUAGGAACAUAAAGAAAAAAGAUCACAAUACUGAUUUAACACUGGAAACUGUAUGUCUCUAUUCAACAUAGGAGACUAUUAAGAUAGUACCCUGAAAACUGUUAAAGCUCAUAUAUAGGAAAUAAGUAAUUUUCUCAUAGCCCAAAACUGAAAAAUAUUGAAAAAUAGGUUGCAAUCAUGCACCUUAAUACAUCCAAGCAAUAGUAAUAAAAAUUCAGUUUCAUUCUGGCUUUUCAUGGAUAUACGGUUUUCAUCAGAAACUAUAUAAGGACCAUCGAAUCAUGGAAUUUCAUCCAAGCUUAAAAUCCUACAAAGAGAAAACUUGCUCGAAGCAAAUUUGAACCCCAGCCCAACUCAUGGUUGACUUGCAGUCAAAGAAAUUUGAAUGUCGAACCAUUGAAAGUAAGCACUUGAAUGUCGAGCCUCAACAAUCAAACAAGGUCUGUCUACUUGGUCUGGUGUUGGGACUACUCAGCAAUUCACAUAUAAAAUACAAAUUACUGGAGAGUACCCUCUACAGCUGAGUUAGGUAUUGUUUGUACGUCAUAAAGAGGACCUACUAAGACAACUUUUAGCUAUACAAGGCACUCUAAUAUGACCUACUGAGACAUAUUUGUUGGCUAAACCUUUUCAAGACGAAAUGCAACAGAGUAAUAGAGACCUCAGCUUAAUUUUCUGUGUUUUUGCCAAGAAGAAAGUUCCCUUCCUUUCAGUAUAGCAACUACAACUUCCAUGCCAAACAAUUUCAAACAAAGAUGAUGCAGUUUGCAAUACUCUUUAGCUUAUGGUUAUUAACUUGAUCCAGAAUUAAACCAUACACCAUGUUAUGAAAAACCUACACCUACAGGAUCAAAAACAGUAGCAUAAUAUUCAUCACAACUAUUGGCCAAUGAUUUCCCAACUAUGGCCUCACCACAAAAAUCAUAGAGAAUAUUAAUCAGGGGCUCAGGGCAUAACCAGGAACAUCAUAAUAAACCAUGGCAUACACAAAAUAGGGAGCCUAAACCCUACCAUGUUAUCCACAAACAAACCAAGUCAUGAACCAAAGAUCACAGCCCAGCACAAUAGUAGCAAGAUAGAAAGC
rnacentral:lncRNA from 1 species